rnacentral:rRNA from 1 species
UAUCUCUGUAGAGUCUGCAUAUCAAUAAGCGGAGGAAAAGAAACUAACUAGGAUUCCCUCAGUAACGGCGAGUGAAGCGGGAAGAGCUCAAAUUUGAAAUCUUCAAGGUUCUACCUUGACGAAUUGUAGUUUAAAGAAGUGUUUUCUGUUGGAGUUUUCGGUAAAAGUUCUUUGGAAUAGGACAUCAUAGAGGGUGAGAAUCCCGUAUUUGACCAUUAUUUCCAACUUUGUGAUACACUUUCAAAGAGUCGGAUUGUUUGGGAAUGCAGUCCAAAAUGGGUGGUAAAUUUCAUCUAAAGCUAAAUACUGGCGAGAGACCGAUAGCGAACAAGUACCGUGAGGGAAAGAUGAAAAGAACUUUGAAAAGAGAGUUAAACAGUACGUGAAAUUGUCAAAAGGGAAGCGUUUGACACCAGUGUUGUUUUUCCGAAAAUCAAUUACGAAUGUUUUGUUUUUGAGAAGUUAUGACUUCAUCGGCUUGCUUCUUUCUUUACGAAACUUUCUUAAUGCACUUUUCGGUUAACAAGUCAACAUCAAUUUCUUUUGUUGUAAAAGGGUACGAGGAAGGUGGCUUUCUUUUCGGAGAAAGUGUUUAUAGCCUUGUGCCUCUGCAAUCGGAGAGAUUGAGGUCUGCAGCGUAGAUCCUUCGGGGUUAGAUACAUUUGUGCUAGUUAUAGCUUUUCAUAGACAACUUGUUGACUAUGUUUAGUCUUGUAGCUUACUCGCUUAUGCUAUUUUACCUACGCUUAGGAUGUUGAUGUGAUACUGCGAGCA